rnacentral:rRNA from 1 species
CGGCGGACGGGUGAGUAACACGUGGGUAACCUACCUAUAAGACUGGGACAACUUCGGGAAACCGGAGCUAAUACCGGAUAAGAUAUCGAACCGCAUGGUUCGAUAGUGAAAGAUGGUUUUGCUAUCACUUAUAGAUGGACCCGCGCCGUAUUAGCUAGUUGGUGAGGUAAUGGCUCACCAAGGCAACGAUACGUAGCCGACCUGAAAGGGUGAUCGGCCACACUGGAACUGAGACACGGUCCAGACUCCUACGGGAGGCAGCAACU